ACGGAAGGCAGCAGUGGGGAAUAUUGCACAAUGGGGGAAACCCUGAUGCAGCGACGCCGCGUGAGUGAAGAAGUAUUUCGGUAUGUAAAGCUCUAUCAGCAGGGAAGAAAAUGACGGUACCUGACUAAGAAGCCCCGGCUAACUACGUGCCAGCAGCCGCGGUAAUACGUAGGGGGCAAGCGUUAUCCGGAUUUACUGGGUGUAAAGGGUGCAUAGGCGGCACGGCAAGUCAGAAGUGAAAUCCCAGGGCUCAACCCUGGAACUGCUUUUGAAACUGUCGAGCUAGAGUACAGGAGAGGUAAGCGGAAUUCCUAGUGUAGCGGUGAAAUGCGUAGAUAUUAGGAGGAACACCAGUGGCGAAGGCGGCUUACUGGACUGACACUGACGCUGAGGCACGAAAGCGUGGGGAGCAAACAGGAUUAGAUACCCUGGUA
rnacentral:rRNA from 1 species